rnacentral:rRNA from 1 species
GAUAAACGCUGGCGGCGCACGUAAGACAUGCAAGUCGAACGGACUUAACUCAUUCUUUUAGAUUGAGAGCGGUUAGUGGCGGACUGGUGAGUAACACGUAAGCACCCUGCCUAUUAGAGGGGAAUAACAGUGAGAAAUCAUUGCUAAUACCGCAUAUGCUAACAGUAUCGCAUGAUACAGUUAGGAAAGGAGCAAUCCGCUAAUAGAUGGGCUUGCGUCUGAUUAGCUAGUUGGUGGGGUAACGGCCUACCAAGGCGACGAUCAGUAGCCGGACUGGGAGGUUGGCCGGCCACAUUGGGACUGAGACACGGCCCAG